UGUGAGUUUUCCUCUUUCUACUACCACCACCAUCGUUAUCAUCAAGAUUAACCCUUAUUGUCGUCGUCGCACAUGAACUAUUUUUUCACCAUUUUGUUUCACUUCUACGAAGUAAACCCUAGAUUCAUAAAUUCUUCUUCUCCUUUUGAUUUUUUCCCCUGAAAAUCUUUAACCCGAUUUCUGAUCUUAGUUCAGAUUCAUGCUCACCAUGUCAUUAUCUGGAUUAAUCUUAUUAUAAAUCAUUUGCAAAUUACAAUUUUUUGACCUAAAGAGGGAAAUCAGAGUUAAUCUGAUUGCAAGUGUUUCUCUGUUCUAUGAGUGUUUUUUGGCACGAGAUUUCCCCGAAACCCCUUCUCUUUUUUCACAAGAUUUCUUUAUAAACCCAUUUGGAGAAUCGUUAACGCUUUCCUCAAAUUUAAGUAAUUUGUUUUUUUUUUCUCUUAAAAUGUCAGAUGUAGAACAAAGGUAUAAACCAAACCCUAGUUUUGAUUUAUUGUUUUUCCUUUUCAAUUAGAUAUAACUGCAAGCUAUGUUUUGUUUGAUUUUACUCAAUAAUGUCAAAUUGAUGAUAAAGAUGUCUUAACUUUGUUUUAGUUGAUAAAAAAUUUUAUGGCAGUAUAUUGAUUUUUUCAGUAAAUGAAUGUGACUGGAAGAUAUUGUGUUUAGGUUGGUUCAGAACCAGGAUGGAAUGAUCAUGUUAGCUAGGCAGGCUCUCUGAACCUACAAGGUAAUUGGAGAGUGUUUUGGACGAAUAAUCAAGGAAGAAGGAUUUGGGGUCAUUGUGGAUAGGAAACACAAGAAAUGUCAUGCAUUACUUCCCUACUCAAGUUGGACCAUAUAUCGGCUCAUUUGUUCUUUAAUUUAACCUAAAUUUGUUCUCAUAUUCUGGAUUAUUGUAGCUUGAUUGCUAAAUUGUUUUAAAAUAUGUUAUCAGGCCUUGAACUUUACAUUCAAGGAUAACUUCAAGAGGCUCUUUAGUUUCAAGAAGGAUAAAGAUGGUUACUGGAAAUGAUUAGCUGGUGGCAUCUGGAUGUGCUGUUGGUGCUUAUUCAGAUGAAGUAAUUGGUGAACUUGAUAAAUCUGUAAUAAAUACGAAAAAUGGUGAGGUGGCACUUGUGAGUCUGUGGCUGUAAAACCAAAUAUGCUUUUGGCUCUCCAUAGUCUCGGCAAAAACUCGUUGUUGUUCCUCCUGGUUCAAUCAUCUCUUACUGAAGCUGACUUGUAUCUUUCGUUAAGGGGAUAGAAUCCUGGGACAUGGACAAUGGUGAGAACAUUGUGAUUGCUGGAAAAAAGAAGAAAGAAGGUAGUGCGAGAUGUACGGGACCAAGUAUUCAAAAGUAUCGUAGUAUAUGAUUGAGUGUGACGAUUGCUUGGGUGGUUUUCAUCUUAAAUGUCUUAGACCUCAUUGAAGGAGAUUCCAGACGGGGAUUGGAUUUGUGAAUUUUGUGAGGCUAGGAAAGCGGGGAAGAAAGCUGACCUUCCUGAACCACCAAAAUGGAAAAAGCGGAGAAGAACGGCAACGGACAAGCUUCUUUCUAAUGACCUAUGGGUUGUACAUAUUGAAAGCUUAUGGAAGGAACCAGAUGGUAGUUAUUGGUUUAGAGGUCGAUGGUAUGUGAUUCCUGAAGAGACUGCAGUUGGAAGGCAUCCACAUAAUCUACGCAGGGAGCUUUAUCGCACUAAUGAUUUUGCGGACAUUGAGAUGGAAUCUAUUCUUAGGCAUUGCUCUGUAAUGAACUGUAAAGAAUUUUCUGAAUCCAAGUACAUAGUUAAUCCUUAUAAAGUGAAAAUAAAUUCUCACUUUGCAGCCUAUAAGAAAUAUUUAGAAACAUGUGGGGUUCUUGCUGGUAAACCGAAAAACAGAGUAUUCCAUAUUACAACACUAAUGAUUCCAAAGGAGGAGGCAACUUAGGACUCUUGCUCGACGAUGAAUGAAGAAGACAUUUUCGAUUUUCAAGACAAACUCCCUCCUUUCCCCCUUGGGUGGAUUCAUGUAAUUAAGAAAAAUCACCUUUCAAGUAGUUAUCUUGUUUUUUAUUCAAGGACUUAUUUUUAUCUAAUCCUUGCCUCACUUUGGGCGCAUAAUGUGUCUACAAAUACUUCAAUUUGACAUCAAUCAUAUGAUAUCAUGCACAUCUUUAAUCCUUGAUAUGUGUUGUCCUAGUCACAGAAGUAUACAAUCACUUCACUCAUUAACUUCCUGGUUUGUUUUUCAAGCACAUCCUUCACAGGCUUGCUUUAUGUCUUCAGUUGAUAUUCAUACACAUUAUUCAUACCAGGUAAUAAUAUACUAUUUUGGAAUUGCUAUUAUUUGCCUGUAGACCUUAAUAUACUGCCCAUACCUACUUCACUAUUUAUAGUUCAUUUGAAAUUUUACAUGGAUUUUACGUGGAUUUUUCCCUUUAUUAAAUCAUGUUACCCAAAACAAUUGCAAUUGUCAUGGCCCUCACAGAUACUUCCAGGUAGAAUUUGUCUCUCCCUUUGUAUCUGAAUUAUUACAAUUGUAGUGACUUUGCAUGGUCUAGCUGAACCAAAAUAGCAGUUGGGUACACCCAUUACCCACUCUGCCUUCUAUCCAACAAAUUUUCUACUCUUGUGGAAUAGUAGAAUUGAAGUAAAUAAAGAAAGAAAAGGGAGUUUAAAAACUGGACCAUGAAAAUUGAUUGUUACUGUGUAGUCCAUUCUUCAUCGUAUCGGUCGAACGAACUAACAACUGUGUUGUCGUAUUUAAACAUUCAAAGAUAUAGACUAUCACCUACUCAAUUAUUGCUUGUCAUAUUAAAUACUAAUAGUAAAAUGGUCCAUUGUUUGUUGUACAUUUUGAGCAGCUUCACUGGGCGUGCGAUAUCUAUCACACUGCUCUUGCUGGUUCCUCCAGUUGAAAUGCCUCACAACCCAUGGUGACAACUUAAACUUCAAGCACCAGGCAUACCUCAUGCAGCAGAAAAUGUUCACCUGGUUAGAUGGUUCCAGUAGGCGAAUGUGAGAGUUCUUUUUUCUUUAGAUCAUUUUGUAAGAACCUUAGUGUGAUACUGAAUUUAUAAAUAUAUCCACCUGACAAUCCUUCAUAUGAUUUUUGUGAUGUGCUUCAUACUUUUUGGUGUGUAUGGAGUGCAUCAUGGUGUAUCAUUGUGAAUUAACUCU